rnacentral:rRNA from 1 species
AGUGAACGCUGGCGGUAGGCCUAACACAUGCAAGUCGAACGGCAGCACAGUAAGAGCUUGCUCUUACGGGUGGCGAGUGGCGGACGGGUGAGGAAUACAUCGGAAUCUACUUUUUCGUGGGGGAUAACGUAGGGAAACUUACGCUAAUACCGCAUACGACCUACGGGUGAAAGCAGGGGAUCUUCGGACCUUGCGCGAUUGAAUGAGCCGAUGUCGGAUUAGCUAGUUGGCGGGGUAAAGGCCCACCAAGGCGACGAUCCGUAGCUGGUCUGAGAGGAUGAUCAGCCACCCUGGAACUGAGCCACGCUCCAGACUCCUACGGGAGGCAGCAGUGGGGAUUAUUGGACAAUGGGCGCAAGCCUGAUCCAGCCAUACCGCGUGGGUGAAGAAGGCCUUCGGGUUGUAAAGCCCUUUUGUUGGGAAAGAAAAGCAGCAGGUUAAUACCCCGCUGUUCUGACGUUACCCAAAGAAUAAGCACCGGCUAACUUCGUG